rnacentral:rRNA from 1 species
GACGAACGCUGGCGGCGUGCCUAAUACAUGCAAGUCGAGCGCAGGAAACUGACGGAACUCUUCGGAGGGAAGGCAGUGGAAUGAGCGGCGGACGGGUGAGUAACACGUAAGGAACCUGCCUCAAGGAUUGGGAUAACUCCGAGAAAUCGGAGCUACUACCGGAUAGUUCAACGGACCGCAUGGUCCGCUGAUGAACGGCGCUUCGGCGUCACCUUGAGAUGGCCUUGCGGUGCAUUAGCUAGUUGGUGGGGUAACGGCCCACCAAGGCGACGAUGCAUAGCCGACCUGAGAGGGUGAUCGGCCACACUGGGACUGAGACACGGCCCAGACUCCUACGGGAGGCAGCAGUAGGGAAUCUUCCACAAUGGACGAAAGUCUGAUGGAGCAACGCCGCGUGAGUGAUGAAGGUUUUCGGAUCGUAAAACUCUGUUGUAAGGGAAGAACACGUACGAGAGGGAAUGCUCGUACCUUGACGGUACCUUACGAGAAAGCCACGGCUAACUACGUGCCAGCCGCCGCAGUAA